CCAUAGAAUUUCUGAAUCUGCUAAUAUCAUUUGUGUAAGAUGAUGAUAUAUGCAAUGAUUUUCAAUGUUUUUUCUUUCUCCACCAUGUUUUGAUCUGUAGCUUUAUUUUACAAAUUGCAGAUUUUGUUGAUGGAAAUGUGGAUUUGGGGAUAUGCAGCUGGAAGGGUUGGUUCUAUCCAGAAAGUUGCAGAUAGGCUUCGUUGUUACACUUGGUCAUGACUUCUUCAUCUCACUUCAAAAUUGCAAAAGGAGGUUUAUGCGGUGGUGGUUGUUGCAAGAAGGCCCUCGCGGUGAUAAUUUAUACGGUGGUGGUUGAUUAUACUGAUGUGACUGUGUCUUAGAUAUCCCCUGAGCUAUGCAAACUACAAAUUAAGUUGUAAACUAUGAUUCAUAUCAUUGUUUUAAUAAGGAUUGGCCCAA